UUACGGCCACAUCACAUUGAAGCACUGGUUGUCGUACGACCACUGAAGUUAAGUCAACGUCGAGCGUGGUCAGUAUCGAGAUGGGUGACCGUAUGGAAAUACCACCUGUUGUAAG